AUUGAACGCUGGCGGCAGGCCUAACACAUGCAAGUCGAGCGAGCGGCGGACGGGUGAGUAAUGUAUGGGAAUCUGCCCGAUGGAGGGGGAUAACUACUGGAAACGGUGGCAAAUACCGCAUACUAACGGAUGAACCCAGAUGGGAUUAGCUAGUAGGGGGGGUAAAGGCUCACCUAGGCGACGAUCUCUAGCUGGUCUGAGAGGAUGACCAGGCACACUGGUACUGAGACACGGCCCAGACUCCGAAGGGAGGCAGCAGUGGGGAAUAUUGCACAAUGGGCGCAAGCCUGAUGCAGCAAUGCCGCGUGUAUGAAGAAGGCCUUAGGGUUGUAAAGUACUUUCAGCGGGGAGGCGUUACCCGCAGAAGAAGCACCGGCUAACUCCGUGCCAGCAGCCGCGGUAAUAC
rnacentral:rRNA from 1 species